rnacentral:rRNA from 1 species
GAUGAACGCUAGCGGCAGGCCUAAUACAUGCAAGUCGAACGGUAACAUGAGUAGCAAUACUUGAUGACGAGUGGCGCACGGGUGCGUAACACGUAUGUAAUCUUCCCACAACUGGGGGAUAGCCCGGAGAAAUCCGGAUUAAUACCCCAUAACCCAGCGAGGUGGCAUCACCUUUCUGGUAAAUCUCCGGAGGUUGUGGAUGAACAUGCGCCCGAUUAGCUAGUUGGCGGGGUAACGGCCCACCAAGGCUACGAUCGGUAGGGGUACUGAGAGGUUAAACCCCCACACUGGUACUGAGACACGGACCAGACUCCUACGGGAGGCAGCAGUAAGGAAUAUUGGACAAUGGAGGCAACUCUGAUCCAGCCAUGCCGCGUGAAGGAUGAAGGCGCUAUGCGUUGUAAACUUCUUUUGAACGGGAAAAAACCCCUUUACGUGUAAAGGGUUGAUUGUACCGUUAGAAUAAGGGUCGGCUAACUUCGUGCCAGCCGCCGCGGUAACAC